CCCUUAUGCUGCUAUCCUUUUAUAAUCCAUAAUUUUGGGGCCAGGUUGUCCGAUAACUUGGCAAAGUGAAAACAGUAUGAGUGUAUGAUGGUUUGGGAACAUAGGUGUAGAAGCACAAAUCGAUGAAAGGAUAGCAGCAUAUGGCAACUUAACUAUUUGCUUUUCCAAAGCAAAUGAAGAGUGCAUAAUUAUUAAAACAGGGUAUUUUUGGAGAUGGACAGGCAGGCUGAUGGGGAGGAGGUAGGCCUGGAUUUUGAACUUAAAAACUCAAAUGGGUUUUUGGGUUCAAAAUGUGUAUUUUUCCCUUAUGCUGCUAUCCUUUUAUAAUCCAUAAUUUUGGGGCCAGGUUGUCCGAUAACUUGGCAAAGUGAAAACAGUAUGAGUGUAUGAUGGUUUGGGAACAUAGGUGUAGAAGCACAAAUCGAUGAAAGGAUAGCAGCAUAUGGUAACUUAACUGUUAGUUUUCCAAAGCAAACGAAGAGUGUAUAAUUAUUAAAAACUUUAUUUUUGGAGAUGGACAGGCAGGCUGUAGGGGAGGAGGUAGGCCUGUAUUUUGAACUUAAAAACUCAAAUGGGUUUUUGGCUUCAAAAUGUGUAUUUUUCACUAAUGCUGCUAUCCUUUUAUAAUCCAUAAUUUUUGGGCCAGGUAGUCUAAUUACUUGGCGACAUAAUAACAGUAUGAGUGCAUGGUUUGGGAAAAUAGAUGCAGAAGGACAAAUGGAUGAAAGGAUGGCCGCAUCUGGCAACUUUACUGUUUGCUUUUUUUCAAUGCAAAGGAGGAGCGUAUAAUUAUUAAAAAGGGUAUUUUUGGAGAUGGACAGGCAGGCUGUAGGGGAGGAGGUAGGCCUGUAUUUUGAACUUAAAAACUCAAAUGGGUUUUUGGGUUCAAAAUGUGUAUUUUUCACUAAUGCUGCUAUCCUUUUAUAAUCCAUAAUUUUUGGGCCAGGUAGUCUAAUUACUUGGCGACAUAAUAACAGUAUGAGUGCAUGGUUUGGGAAAAUAGAUGCAGAAGGACAAAUGGAUGAAAGGAUGGCCGCAUUUGGCAACUUUAUUGUUUGCUUUUUUUCAAUGCAAAGGAGGAGCGUAUAAUUAUUAAAAAGGGUAUUUUUGGAGAUGGACAGGCAGGCUGUAGGGGAGGAGGUAGGCCUGUAUUUUGAACUUAAAAACUCAAAUGGGUUUUUGGGUUCAAAAUGUGUAUUUUUCCCUUAUGCUGCUAUCCUUUUAUAAUCCAUAAUUUUUGGGCCAGGUAGUCUAAUUACUUGGCGACAUAAUAACAGUAUGAGUGCAUGGUUUGGGAAAAUAGAUGCAGAAGGACAAAUGGAUGAAAGGAUGGCCGCAUCUGGCAACUUUACUGUUUGCUUUUUUUCAAUGCAAAGGAGGAGCGUAUAAUUAUUAAAAAGGGUAUUUUUGGAGAUGGACAGGCAGGCUGUAGGGGUGGAGGUAGGCCUGUAUUUUGAACUUAAAAACUCAAAUGGGUUUUUGGGUUCAAAAUGUGUAUUUUUCCCUUAUGCUGCUAUCCUUUUAUAAUCCAUAAUUUUGGGGCCAGGUUGUCCGAUAACUUGGCAAAGUGAAAACAGUAUGAGUGUAUGAUGGUUUGGGAACAUAGGUGUAGAAGCACAAAUCGAUGAAAGGAUAGCAGCAUAUGGCAACUUAACUAUUUGCUUUUCCAAAGCAAAUGAAGAGUGCAUAAUUAUUAAAACAGGGUAUUUUUGGAGAUGGACAGGCAGGCUGAUGGGGAGGAGGUAGGCCUGGAUUUUGAACUUAAAAACUCAAAUGGGUUUUUGGGUUCAAAAUGUGUAUUUUUUCCCUUAUGCUGCUAUCCUUUUAUAAUCCAUAAUUUUGGGGCCAGGUUGUCCGAUAACUUAGCAAAGUGAAAACAGUAUGAGUGUAUGAUGGUUUGGGAACAUAGGUGUAGAAGCACAAAUCGAUGAAAGGAUAGCAGCAUAUGGCAACUUAACUGUUUGUUUUCCAAAGCAAACGAAGAGUGUAUAAUUAUUAAAAACUGUAUUUUUGGAGAUGGACAGGCAGGCUGUAGGGGAGGAGGUAGGCCUGUAUUUUGAACUUAAAAACUCAAAUGGGUUUUUGGGUUCAAAAUGUGUAUUUUUCCCGUAUGCUGCUAUCCUUUUAUAAUCCAUAAUUUUGGGGCCAGGUAGUCUAAUUACUUGGCGACAUAAUAACAGUAUGAGUGCAUGGUUUGGGAAAAUAGAUGCAGAAGGACAAAUGGAUGAAAGGAUGGCCGCAUCUGGCAACUUUACUGUUUGCUUUUUUUCAAUGCAAAGGAGGAGCGUAUAAUUAUUAAAAAGGGUAUUUUUGGAGAUGGACAGGCAGGCUGUAGGGGAGGAGGUAGGCCUGUAUUUUGAACUUAAAAACUCAAAUGGGUUUUUGGGUUCAAAAUGUGUAUUUUUCACUAAUGCUGCUAUCCUUUUAUAAUCCAUAAUUUUUGGGCCAGGUAGUCUAAUUACUUGGCGACAUAAUAACAGUAUGAGUGCAUGGUUUGGGAAAAUAGAUGCAGAAGGACAAAUGGAUGAAAGGAUGGCUGCAUCUGGCAACUUUACUGUUUGCUUUUUUUUCAAUGCAAAGGAGGAGCGUAUAAUUAUUAAAAAGGGUAUUUUUGGAGAUGGACAGGCAGGCUGUAGGGGAGGAGGUAGGCCUGUAUUUUGAACUUAAAAACUCAAAUGGGUUUUUGGGUUCAAAAUGUGUAUUUUUCCCUUAUGCUGCUAUCCUUUUAUAAUCCAUAAUUUUUGGGCCAGGUAGUCUAAUUACUUGGCGACAUAAUAACAGUAUGAGUGCAUGGUUUGGGAAAAUAGAUGCAGAAGGACAAAUGGAUGAAAGGAUGGCCGCAUCUGGCAACUUUACUGUUUGCUUUUUUUCAAUGCAAAGGAGGAGCGUAUAAUUAUUAAAAAGGGUAUUUUUGGAGAUGGACAGGCAGGCUGUAGGGGUGGAGGUAGGCCUGUAUUUUGAACUUAAAAACUCAAAUGGGUUUUUGGGUUCAAAAUGUGUAUUUUUCCCUUAUGCUGCUAUCCUUUUAUAAUCCAUAAUUUUGGGGCCAGGUUGUCCGAUAACUUGGCAAAGUGAAAACAGUAUGAGUGUAUGAUGGUUUGGGAACAUAGGUGUAGAAGCACAAAUCGAUGAAAGGAUAGCAGCAUAUGGCAACUUAACUAUUUGCUUUUCCAAAGCAAAUGAAGAGUGCAUAAUUAUUAAAACAGGGUAUUUUUGGAGAUGGACAGGCAGGCUGAUGGGGAGGAGGUAGGCCUGGAUUUUGAACUUAAAAACUCAAAUGGGUUUUUGGGUUCAAAAUGUGUAUUUUUUCCCUUAUGCUGCUAUCCUUUUAUAAUCCAUAAUUUUGGGGCCAGGUUGUCCGAUAACUUAGCAAAGUGAAAACAGUAUGAGUGUAUGAUGGUUUGGGAACAUAGGUGUAGAAGCACAAAUCGAUGAAAGGAUAGCAGCAUAUGGCAACUUAACUGUUUGUUUUCCAAAGCAAACGAAGAGUGUAUAAUUAUUAAAAACUGUAUUUUUGGAGAUGGACAGGCAGGCUGUAGGGGAGGAGGUAGGCCUGUAUUUUGAACUUAAAAACUCAAAUGGGUUUUUGGGUUCAAAAUGUGUAUUUUUCCCGUAUGCUGCUAUCCUUUUAUAAUCCAUAAUUUUGGGGCCAGGUAGUCUAAUUACUUGGCGACAUAAUAACAGUAUGAGUGCAUGGUUUGGGAAAAUAGAUGCAGAAGGACAAAUGGAUGAAAGGAUGGCCGCAUCUGGCAACUUUACUGUUUGCUUUUUUUCAAUGCAAAGGAGGAGCGUAUAAUUAUUAAAAAGGGUAUUUUUGGAGAUGGACAGGCAGGCUGUAGGGGAGGAGGUAGGCCUGUAUUUUGAACUUAAAAACUCAAAUGGGUUUUUGGGUUCAAAAUGUGUAUUUUUCACUAAUGCUGCUAUCCUUUUAUAAUCCAUAAUUUUUGGGCCAGGUAGUCUAAUUACUUGGCGACAUAAUAACAGUAUGAGUGCAUGGUUUGGGAAAAUAGAUGCAGAAGGACAAAUGGAUGAAAGGAUGGCUGCAUCUGGCAACUUUACUGUUUGCUUUUUUUUCAAUGCAAAGGAGGAGCGUAUAAUUAUUAAAAAGGGUAUUUUUGGAGAUGGACAGGCAGGCUGUAGGGGAGGAGGUAGGCCUGUAUUUUGAACUUAAAAACUCAAAUGGGUUUUUGGGUUCAAAAUGUGUAUUUUUCCCUUAUGCUGCUAUCCUUUUAUAAUCCAUAAUUUUUGGGCCAGGUAGUCUAAUUACUUGGCGACAUAAUAACAGUAUGAGUGCAUGGUUUGGGAAAAUAGAUGCAGAAGGACAAAUGGAUGAAAGGAUGGCUGCAUCUGGCAACUUUACUGUUUGCUUUUUUUCAAUGCAAAGGAGGAGCGUAUAAUUAUUAAAAAGGGUAUUUUUGGAGAUGGACAGGCAGGCUGUAGGGGAGGAGGUAGGCCUGUAUUUUGAACUUAAAAACUCAAAUGGGUUUUUGGGUUCAAAAUGUGUAUUUUUCCCUUAUGCUGCUAUCCUUUUAUAAUCCAUAAUUUUGGGGCCAGGUUGUUCGAUAACUUGGCAAAGUGAAAACAGUAUGAGUGUAUGAUGGUUUGGGA